CAUCCAAGUUUAGGAAGAGAAUCGUAAAUGUUGUUGGCAACAGAUAUACUCUGCCCAUCACACAAGAUGAUAAAAAAUCCAUGAAAGAAGACAAAAAAUGUCAAAACCGCUGAAGGCAUUGCUCAGGUAACAUGCAUUACCUGUCACCUCGCUUUACCUGUUUCCGUCCCCUGAGGGCGACACAGUCUUGGCGAGCCAGGUGCUAGCGGACAGACAGGUUGGAUUAUUGGCUUGAACAGGUAUCUGUCGGGUCAUUUCUCACUGUGGUGGCAAGUAUGGGGAGAAUAGCUGAAGAAAUCUAUUCCAUGAGCGUGACGUCCAAUCGUUCACCGAAUGUCCACCGUGAUUAUAAACGAAGGGUGGAAACCAUAGAAAAGUAUUGAUGUAAAUUGAUGAGUGCAGUUCUCCUGUCAUUGUCGCAUUCGAAUUGUCAGAGAAUGGUAACACAUCGGUACUACAAUGACAAUUCUUUAUUUACAAGAGGUAAAAUAAGCAAGAAAUCCUUUUUUUUCCAUUUAGCCCUCGCCCUUUACUGGGAUGAAAAUUAACUACGUAAAUGAAUUGAGAAUUAUAGAAUAAGCUUUAGUAAACAUAAAGGAUCGAAGGUGGAUAUGUACAGAAGUACGUGGUGGUUUAGAAAAAAAAAAUGUAUAUAUUUACAAAGUUUCCUGGAGUUGUGAGGUAUCUCUAGAGGCCUCAUCUAUUUGUCUUGAAAAUAUUUAGAUGGCGUAGAAAGCAGUUCAAUUGCUUAAGAUGAAGAGGGCGAGGCUGUUCCAUAGCACGCUCAGAGUAUUUCAUACUUGAUUUAAAAAGGUCUAGUCUAGGAAUGGGAAUACUAAGUUUUGGAGAGGUUCUACUGUUAUUAGAGGAAUAAAGUAGAGAGAGUCUUGGCUAUAGUUUGCCCGCCAGUAUUUUAUACCUGAAAAUACAUUUAUUAAAUUUAAGUCUUUUAGAGGAAGGACACCCAGAGAGGUGAAGUCAUUUGGGUCUAUUUUCGGUUUUAGCAGAACGGCUUUGAUUGCUCGCCUCUGAACACUUUCUAGAGGUUUCAAGGAAGCUCCACUAGCGGAGUCCCAGACUGUGGAUGCAUAGACAAUGGUUGACUGUAUGUGGGUAGUAUAGAAGAGUUUUCUUGUGCAAGGGUCUAGGAAAUGUUUAAUUCUUGACAGCAGGUAGACUUUCUUGGAGAUGCUGAGGCCAACAUCUAUUAGGAAAAAAAAAAAAUGCCCAGCAACUGAAAACUUAUGUAGUUUUAACAGACGUGAAAGAAAGGUAUAAACUAUGCAAAAUGUAUUGUUUAGUGGUAACAGUAUACUAUGCUUAAAAAAAAAAAAAUGGCAUGAAAUUUUUUUAGAGAAUCCUGAAUUGUUAUAAGCAAAACAUUAUUACUCAAAUGACAGUACACGCACCCUCUACUUGUAUGUCAUGAAAGCUUGCCAAGAUGGGGUAAGUACUGAGUAUAUCAUUCAGUUUGAAAUGGCAUUCAAUAAAAACUUAAAAUGUUUUGAACUCUCUCUUUCAUGUGGACAUAUGAAAGCUGAUAUUUUGUCAUUAUUAAUAACCGUGUCAAAGAUAACUGACACAGUUUUACUUGUAUAAAUAUGACAUUGAUAAUUAAAGCAGUUUCUUGACAUGUUGAGUCAAGAUCAUAAUACCCGGACAAUUGACCCAUAUUUUUUUACAGCAGGUCAAUAAAACCCCAAUAAAUGAACUGGGCAACUAAAAACCCUCCAACAGGUUUUACUGGGUGUCUGAAUACUUGCAUUUUACAGCUGGGAAGCAACAGGACAAUAAGACCAUAACAGUAUUACAUAAAAAAGGCAGUUUUUGUAACAGGCAUCCAAUAAUAGUUGUCAUAAAUCUGCCAGUGCUGGAGACAAGAAAAAUGUCCAUGGUACUUUUCAGUUGUGUUCUUGUAGUCCCUUAUCAUCUAAACUGGGAAGUGUAUGUAGCAAAAAUGAUGUACAAGGCCAUUGGAUUUUUCAUCCAAUUGUUUUUCCUUGGACUGCUCUUGGAACUUCAUUGUGAGGAGGUAUUAUCACAAACUGACAGCAUUUUGCCCUUAUUUACACUCUACCAUUUUACAGAAUGAGGAUGGGGGAUGGGAGCUAGAUAAAUCAGCCUAAAAUCACAUCAUCUCGGAUGUUUUGACCUCCACCCACAGACAACUUGACUCUUGCCAAGAGCAAAUCGAACAAUGCCGAGAGACGAAUCAACCAGAACUUGUUGAAAGUCUCAGGGAAAGUUUGCCAAUUGAGAUCUUCUAUUCAGCAUAAUUAUUCUGGACAAUUCUAUAACUGAUGUCCAUGAACCUUCUGGAAAAUCAAUACAUACACACACACUUUUAAGACAGUAUCCCACUCCUCCCAUAAAAACCCCAACAAAAAGUGAAUACAGUAAAAUAUGGAAUGAUUAAAGGUGUGUUUUAGUAAGCCAACAACUUCAGCGGAAAAAUUAUUUACUCAGCUGUGCACAAUAGGCAAUAUUCAUGUAUCACCAUUUUGAAUACUAGAAUAAGGGUCAGUGGGCUGUACAGCACAAAUAAAACUCUCUUUCCAUUCACAAAGAAAAGUGGACAGAUUUUUAGGCAAAUGUGCACAUCUUUGUGUGUGUGUUACUAGCUGGCAAAAGAAGACACUAAUUCAUCAUUGGUAUAAUUUUUUUUAACUUUCUAGUGCUCCUCUUUACAGUUGUUUGCCUUAAUAUACACGUUUUUGCAUGUAACUUUAGCAUAUUAUUGAUAAUCUUUAUGUUAUGCCACUGAUAUUUAAUCGGUGAUGAGAAAUAAAGCAAAUACAUAUAAAUAUAUGCAGACAAUAAUUAAAAGGAAUUUAAAUAUUGCAUAAAAUACAUCUUAUUUUUAUGGGUACUCCUUUAUUUUCAUUGCUAAAACUUUGCUCUGUUGAUUCUCUAAAUCAUUUCAAGGCAUUGUUGGAAAAAACAUACCAUUCACAUAAAUAUACACCCGCACCCACACUCGGAGGCAUAAAUGUGUAUAUUUCUUCGAACUGUAUCUCAAAACCACCUUUUGUAAAUUGUUAAGUGUUUAAUCUUAAUUAUGCUUUCCAGUGAUCCAAGUCCAUAACAGACAGACAGCCUCUUUCUGGUCUCAAAAUAUUUUCAUCUGGUGCAUAAGUAUCGCUUAGUUUGUUAAUGCUCUGAUGAAACCAACUGUCAUUUAUAAGUAAAUGUCAAUUUUAUUGCAAACAUGUCUCUCACGAAAAUCUUAAUGAUCUCAAAAUACAUCUUAAGCACGAGUAGUCUCUUUUUUGUUUUUUUACAUCAGGUUAAUGUUAAAAUACUCAUACAGAACCAAUAAUAUGCAGCAAAAGGCACGACAUUAUACAAGGUAAAGACACAAA
rnacentral:lncRNA from 1 species